UGGGGAAUAUUGGACAAUGGGCGAAAGCCUGAUCCAGCAAUGCCGCGUGAGUGAUGAAGGCCCUAGGGUUGUAAAGCUCUUUUACCCGGGAUGAUAAUGACAGUACCGGGAGAAUAAGCUCCGACUAACUUCGUGCCAGCAGCCGCGGUAAUACGAGGGGAGCUAGCGUUGUUCGGAAUUACUGGGCGUAAAGCGCGCGUAGGCGGUUUUUUAAGUCAGAGGUGAAAGCCCGGGGCUCAACCCCGGAAUAGCCUUUGAAACUGGAAAACUAGAAUCUUGGAGAGGUCAGGGGAAUUCCGAGUGUAGAGGUGAAAUUCGUAGAUAUUCGGAAGGACACCAGUGGCGAAGGCGACUGACUGGACAAGUAUUGACGCUGAGGUGCGAAAGCGUGGGGAGCAAACA
rnacentral:rRNA from 1 species